UGUUGCUCCAAAAAAACGUCAGACUCCGUAGCCAUGUUGGGAUCAACAGCUCCCAAUUCCCCGGGCCUUACUGUGAACUCUCAUCCUGCUUCUAGGACUGAAUCAUUUUUUGGUAACUGCGAGGAUUGGGGCAGGAGCUGGAGAAUUGGACUCUUUUUCAAGGCUUUGUUCAUUUAACCCUCUUCUCGCCUUCCGAGAGAGUGCACGAGGUUGUUAUCGUCACUUUGCAAGAUUUCCAAUUCAAAUAUGCAAUCAUACUUCACUUGACACCAGUGAUAUGGCAUAGUUUGACUUUGUUUUUCUCUUCUCAGUAGCGCUGUAUGUUUAUGAAAUAUGGGUUAACUGGUCUGUAGAUACAGGAGAGGCACAGCAGGUCUGUAAACAUCUCUGCCGCCACCGAGAGAAAUAACUGCACAUUUAUUGUUCCUGAUUGUUAAAAGGAUUCCAACUGUUUGUUUUUUUAUGUCCAU